rnacentral:rRNA from 1 species
UACGUAGGGUGCGAGCGUUAAUCGGAAUACUGGGCGUAAAGCGUGCGCAGGCGGUGAUGUAGACCGAUGUGAAAUCCCCGGGCUUAACCUGGGAACUGCAUUGGUGACUGCAUUGCUGGAGUAUGGCAGAGGGGGGUGGAAUUCCACGUGUAGCAGUGAAAUGCGUAGAGAUGUGGAGGAACACCGAUGGCGAAGGCAGCCCCCUGGG